rnacentral:rRNA from 1 species
AUAGUUUGAUCCUGGCUCAGAACGAACGCUGGCGGCGUGGAUAAGACAUGCAAGUCGAGCGCGAAUUCUGGUGUAGCAAUACAUCAGAGUUUGAGCGGCGCAAGGGUGCGUAACACGUGGGUAAUUUGCCGUGAAGUUGGGGAUAACUCGCUGAAAGGCGAGCUAAUACCGAAUGUGGAAUGAGAGUGGCAUCACUUUUCUUCUAAAGCUGGGGAUCGUAAGACCUGGCGCUUCAUGAUAAGCCCGCGGCCUAUCAGCUAGUUGGUGCGGUAACGGCGCACCAAGGCUAAGACGGGUAGCUGGUCUGAGAGGACGACCAGCCACACUGGAACUGAGACACGGUCCAGACACCUACGGGUGGCAGCAGUCGAGAAUUUUUCUCAAUGGGCGCAAGCCUGAAGGAGCGACGCCGCGUGUGGGAUGAAGGGUUUCGAUCCGUAAACCACUGUCAUUUGUGAACAAUGGUCAUUAUUUAAAAGAUGGUGACUUGAUAGUAAUGAAAGAGGAAGGGACGGCUAACUCUGUGCUAGCCGCCGCGGUAAUAC